GACGUAGGGUCCGAGCGUUGUCCGGAGUUACUGGGCGUAAAGGGCGCGUAGGCGGCUUUGUGCGUCACCCGUGAAAGCCCCCGGCUCAACCGGGGAGGGUCGGGUGAAACGGCGGAGCUGGAGGCAGCGAGAGGCUGGUGGAAUUCCCGGAGUAGUGGUGAAAUGCGUAGAGAUCGGGAGGAACACCUGUGGCGAAGGCGGCCGACUGGGCCGACCCUGACGCUGAGGCGCGAAGGCGUGGGGAGCGAACGGG
rnacentral:rRNA from 1 species